UUGGUUCAAACUGAAAAUCUCACUCCAGCCAGCUGACUAAAGUUGGCAGGUCAGGCCAUAAUGGGCACAUCCUGGCUGUAUCACUUCAGGUACAGCAAGCUGUGAAAACUGCUACCCCUCUGCGUGAAAGAAUGAUAUUUCCAUGGUUAAAACCCAUUCACAUAAACGGAUUAAGCAUUAAAUGGAAUUUGUGUAUAUGACAAACUCUGAAUAAAUGUCUGUGCAAAUAAAUCAGCAGCCCCUAACUUAAUUCCGAGUCCUCCUCCUCCCCCCAACCCCAAGCAAGGGAAUUUAGAUGCAAGAAAGGGAGCAGACUUCAUAGUGCAUGAGGACUACAGCUCUACAGUUGACAGUUCAUGCUCCUGUACCCUUGAAUCCAGUUCAGCCUGAUUCGUACCAGUAAAAUGGCCAGCUGUAGGGAUAGGUGAAGCAGCAAGUAAGAGAUAAAGACAGCUUAAGAUGAUCAGCGUGACAGUUUCCUCCCAAGUUAGCUUGGGCUAUCAGCUGGGGUCACUAGCAUUGAAGACCCCUGUGGAGAUGCUGCCUCUCACCAUUGUGAACGUUUGACUAGUGUUAUACUGAGGAAAAAAAUGCAAAAAAGAAAGAAAAUACCCUCAUAAUUUCUUCUGGGCUGGGAUGGAUGUGGUGCUGUCUUGAGGAUUCUAUGAGUGUGCAGCGGUUUCGCUGUCAAUCUUGCAGCCAGAUUGUGAAUUUCUCAGCAGAAAUUGGGUGCAAGGGGGCACCAUGGUGGUGCAGCUGUUACCACUAUUGCCUCACACUUCUGGGACCGGGCUUUGGGUCUCCUCUCCGGCUUUAUGUGCAUGGAGAUUGAUGCUCUCCCCAUGUCAUCAUGGGGUUUCUUCCAGGGGCAAGUUUCACAAAGCAGGAUAACUUGUUGGACUUAAGGUAGUUUGGGCUAAAUGUAACUGAACGAAGAUAAAGUCCACUUAACUUGGGGUUAGGGUUACCUUAAAUCCGACAAGUUAUUUAGCUAGCUAGCAAAUCUGGUUUCAUGAUGUUGGUCCCUGGUUUUCCGUGACCCGUUUGCUGCUCUGCAUCAGCUGAAUGUCACAUAAUGCUGCUGUGAUUCAUUUACAGAAGCCAUCAGCUAAUGAGAGUGCAGACAGGCAGACGGGUCAGUUACUCUCCUAAUGGUUUCCCUGAACCACUACACCACUCAGCUGUUCGGUGCAAACACGCCAUAUUGGAUUGUUCUCGAUUCAGCUCUUUCUCAAGCCUGAGGACAUUUUAAUUAUUAUUGUUGACCUGUUAACUAAGGAAAUAGUUGUACAUUUUUAGAAUGGCCAAAUGGUCCAUCAUCCCAGCCUCUACUCCUGGUUGGUGCUAUGGGCCAGGAGACUGUCCAAGGCAGAACAGGGCAUUAGGUGGGGAUAUACCCUGGACUGGAUGCUACAUGUACACUAUGGAUGAUUUCAAGAUGCCAGUUAACCAAACUUCCUGUCUUUGGUCCGUGGAAGAAAAUCCUGAGUGGCAUGGGGCUUCAGAAGAACCGCAACCUUUGAAGAAGAUCAUCACAGCAAUGAAACACGCCGUCGUAAAGCGUAAAGAUCCAGACAGACGACAGAACAUUCCGGAAGAAUGCUACCGAUGCGGUUACCUGGAGUGGAAAUUGAUUUAACGGCACUUAAAAAUCAACACAACAUUUAUACAGUAUAUGCAGAGACAGCAAGGCUGUACCGCAAACAUUAUGAUCGCCCUGCUCCGGAGUGUGUAACAUCAUCGAUGCAUGAAAAGCAGGAGAGCCCAAGUAAAAGUGAAAAAUUGUCAGAUAAACAUCUCCCUUAUUAUUCUGGGGGGUUAUAGUGGUGUUGCUCAGUGCAGUAAUUUAUUAAUGUGCCUGUAUUACAAAUUACAAUGGGAAUAAAGUAGGAAUAUGUUUUGGAAUAGAUUUCAGGCUGGGUGCGUUUCCCAUCUGACAUUAAAUCAGAUGCAUUAGUGAAACAUCUUCACUUUGUUUUAUUUUGACGUUAUAAGGCAGUAUUUUGUGAGAACCGUGUAGGAAGCUCAGGAUGCUGAUUACAUGCUAAUCCAGUGAUGAACUUCACGAAUACAGUGUGUCAGCCUGAAAGUCAGGAGUAUGGGCAGAGGAAUCUGUGUGAGGCAGACUAACAGGAAAGGAUGGCUGUGCCGGUUUCCACUUGAAUAAACAGCCUCUUCCGCUUAUCAUCUGGCUCUGCCGAGCCGAACGCCAGUUUCCCAUCCCGCAGACGCACUGCUAGCACAUGAGGGGGCCCUUCGGGAAACACUCUCAUCCAACAUGUAGGCUCAGUUGGAGCCUUUAAUUGUUAAUUAUAUGACCAAUCACACUGGUGAAAAGCCUGGCUCAUUAGAGUAUAAUAAAGCUGCCUUUUUAUCGAGAUUCGCAUUUGAAAUUUGGGGCGCGCAUAAAACUCAUCAGUCUUAAGAAUGAUAAAUUAUGUUAUACCAGUUUUUCACUGAGUUGCACACAUUGUUUUGUUAUUCAUGAAUGAUUUUAAAGGCUGUUCUGUUGGACAUGGUGGGUGGUAACUACUUUUCCCAGACACAUUCAGAGACGAUUUGCUGUCAGUAAUUAAAAUCCCAUUAAGCGUCUUGUCAUUUUAGCUGCAUGGUGAAUUCGGCACAUUUGUGUAUUUCUUAUUUAGCAUUUCGUUGACUUAAUAUUUUAUAUAUUGUACAUAAAUAAAGAAAAGCAUUUAAUGGAAUCUGGGGUGUUCUCUGUGGGAAGGACACAGCCUUCAGUUUGACCACAGAAGUCUGUUUAGACACCUGUAUUUAAAUUCGUUUUCAUGGGCAGCAUUUUAAAUAUGUAUUUAUUUGUUUCACUAGCAAGCAGUAGCUAUGAAGUAGCUACGAUGACAGGAAUUUCGUUUUGGUGUCCAGUAAUCCAGUUAUUGUGUUAAACAAAACCUUGCAAUCUCCACUACAUGUGACUUAACCAAAGGUGUAUGUUUCAUUUCAUCAAUGAUAGGGACCAAACAGCCCCCCCC